ACAAAAGUACUAAUACAAACCCCACAAAGAGAGAAAAAGGAGAAGGGAAAAGGGAGGGUGAUGACAAUAUACUAUUUGGAUAUAAACAGAAACACCAAAGUUUCAAUCACAAUAAAUAAAUCAGCAGUAGUAAUAAUUGAGGAAUUGGAGAUCUAAAACAAAUUCCAACUUGAAUACAAAAAACUCUCAUUUUCUCCAUCUAAAAACUAAAGAGAUUAUUACAUAGAGAGAAUUCAAACAACCAAACAAACUCAAAAGAAAAAUUCACACAAGCAGAAGUUACUGAUCUGACUUAAAAAUUACAGAAUCUCACAACUCCAAAAGCAAGCAGAACUUGCCUUUUCUUUAUUUCCUAUCUUACAUCUGAAAAGGCUACACAACUUUUUAGAUAUACUCUAUAUAUAUGGAUGAACAAGUUCAGAUGAACUUGAUGGAAUUACCCUCCUGAUGCAGGAGUUGGUGGUGGAGUGGUGGAAGCUGAGGUGGCGGCGGUGGAGCUGCCGUCAAAGUCGUCAUCUCCGCCGGCACCAUCACCUCCUCUAAAGGGAAAUAGAGAGCUUACAGUCUCGACAAAACUCUCAAAAAUUUGAGCUUUGAUCUUACCCCUUUUGGGUGGAAGUGCUCUCUUUUGUGUCUGUUGCAUGUUUGGUGUUGUAGCUGCUGCCAUUAGAAUAUAGGAAGUAACAGAAAAGUAGCCGGAAAAUAUGAAGAGAAAAGAAGAAGGAGAAAUUCAAGUAGGCUUUGAAAAUACAGCCUAUAUUAUAAGAAUAUGAAGGGAAGAAAGAGAUCAAGAACUAAGGGGGAGAAAUGAAAAGUCAGGGGGAUGUGGCCGGAAAAAGCCCCAUCGGAGAGGAAAUUAAAGAAGAAGAGGAAGUGAGAGCUAAAGGAGGACAAAUACGUGGAGUUGAACUGCUUUUUUAUAGGAAAUUUUUUAUGGUAUUUACGAAGAAUAUUCUGUUCAUGAAAGUAGUUCACAUUUACACGAAAGUAUAUUAUACUGUACUAAGUAGAUGUAGUUUAUACUAGUAGUAUUCGAAAUUGAGUAACUUGGCCUUCCGGUCUAGUAUUGUCCUACCGUUAGGAGUUUUUUUUUUGUUUUUGCCCUUGAUUUUAACGGAGCUCCAUAUGUUUGAAUUAUAAUAAAAAAUUGAAGAGUAAUUUAAUGCGGACAUUUUUCUCGAAAAAUUAAAACGUGUAGAGUCCACUAUUUUACGUUUCAGUUCCAUUAAUGACGAGGAAAAAUAUGAAAUAAUUUGCUAACAAAACGAUAUAAAUAAUCCAACAAAGUAAAAUGGACAAAUUUGAACAUUAAUUUCAAAUAGUACAUAUAUAUUUUUGGGAAAAUGACAGUGUAUAACCUCUCUCAAAUAACUUUUUUCACCUUUAGCUCACGCUAGAAACUAUUUAUAUUCGAUAGUCGAAAAAGUGUAAAAAAAUUGUAUAAUUUUUGUAUAUAGCACAUAUAAUGUGUAUAUAUACAAGAAAUAUACCAAAAAAUAUAUUUUUCGGCUAUUAUUUUGAGGCGGUUAUGCAAUGUCAUUUUCCUAGGCAAAGGUCAAUUUUAACCCCCAACAGAAACUAUUUACAUUCAGUAACUGCAAAAGUUUAUAACGCGGAUUAAAAGUAAUAAUAUCCAUGUAUGUUUCCUCUUUUCACCCUCUAUACAUAUGUUGUCUACUUGUACACUUUGCUCAUUUAUGGAACGUUUAUUUCUAACCAUAUUUUGAUUCUUGACAUAUAAUUGUCGAAGAGGUAGACCCGAUAGCCUAUUGAGAGUAUUGCGUGACAGUGAGUUGUUGCUGUAUUUUUGUGUAUAGCUAUAUGCAUAGUUGAGGGUACUUUUGUAAUUAGCUAACAUAGUUGGUGAAGUAUUCUUUCCAUACGUGUAUAUGUAUAACACAAUAUAGAAAUACAGAUCAGAUUUCUCUUUACCAAAUUUAUUCUCUCUCUAGAAGCUUCUAUUGGUCUCUUUUCUUCUCUCUCGUCUGUUCCUUGUAAGCUCAAUCGCUACAUUAAUGGAAGCUUCUGCUUGCAUCUAAACUCUUAAUUUUGACAUGGUAUCAGAGCUAAGGCUCAGUGUUAACUCAAUUCUCGUUCAGGCUCAUCUCUUUCAUCACUAAUCUCUGUUUGUUUUAAAGUUGCAAGUCAAAAUUGGGAAACUCUAAUUUUCACCCACAGUUUUUCAGAUCUGCGAUUAACUCAUCUUAUAUCAUGGAAGUAGAUGGCGAUACUUUGAAUUCAACUAAUUCACCAAAUGUAAACAAAGAUACAUUGGAUUCGACCAAUCCUUUGUACAUGCAUCCUUCAAAGAGUGCCGGGUCAACACUAGUGCCGAUGGUAUUUGACGGAACUGGUUAUAGAUCCUGGAGAAGAGGCGUCCUCAAAGCCCUCUCAGUGAAGAAUAAGGUCGGUUUCAUCACCGAAAAAUGUAAGAAGCCAGAUUCCGGCCAUCCGACAUUUGAGCAGUGGGAGAGAUGCGACGACAUGGUGACAUCGUGGAUUCUCAACUCACUUUCAAAGGAUUUGGCAAAUAGCUUACAGUAUGUGGUCGAUGCAAAGGAGUUGUGGCAGGAACUGGAAGAUAGGUACGAUAAGAUGAAUGGAGCGAAAUUGUACCAGCUUAAAAGGAAAAUUAACGACCUAAGUUAGGGAACCCUAGACAUUACAGGAUAUUAUACAAAAAUGAAGAAGCUUUGGGAAGAGGUUAACACAUUAAAUGCACAUGCACAAUGUAAGUGCCAGUGUACUUGUGGAGCCAAGGCAAAUAUGCACAAGGCUGAACAAGACAGAAGGCUAAUUAGGUUUCUAAUGGGUUUAAAUGAGGUCUACACAGUUGUGAGAGGAAGCAUUUUGAUGAUGAAUCUGUUGCCCAGUAUUGCACAAGCCUUUUCUAUCCUAAUCCAGGAAGAAAAACAAAGGGAAGUUAGGCCAACCAACCAUUUGAUGAUGGAGUCUACUUCAAUGAAUGUCAGUGGUCUUGCAAAUCCAGCUUUUAGGACAAAUUAUGCUCAACAGAGGAACACUUUAGGAAACAACUCAUAUAGAGGCAGUUAUCCAUCCAAUAGGUCACGCCUGUUUUGCGACUACUGCAAGAAGCAAGGACACACUAAAGAUAAAUGCUACAAACUACACGGAUUUUCCCAGGACUUCAAAUUCACUAAAGGAAAAAGUGUGGCAUCUGCUGCAAGUAUGCAUGGAGGACCUCAAGGGAUAGUUCCUGAGGAUGCAGUGAAGUUGGUGCUGGAAAUCAAAGCAUGGGGAUUCAACACCUGACAAAGGAGCAAUAUAAUCAGUUACUGCAUCUGUUGGAGAACUUCCAUGGUAGAAAUGCAAUUGGAGUCUCAAAUAACAUCACUAGUGGGGCAGCAAACUUUGCAGGUAUAUUGACUAUUUGUGGCACAACAGAUUGGGCUAUGUACCUUUUGUGAAAAUGAGGGGAAUAUCAUCCAUACCUGUAAAUUUUGCACCCAAACAACCAUUCUUAUGUUCAAUUUGCUCUAUGGCCAGACAAACAAGACUACCAUUUUCACAGAAAAACACAUCAUCUACCAAUGUUUUUGAACUAUUACACAUAGACCUCUGGGGGCCAUACCACACAGUCACACAUGACAAUUACAAAUAUUUCUUACCAUAGUUGAUGACUUUAGUAGGUCAACCUGGACAUAUCUUAUGAGUUGUAAAAGUAAUACACUUCAAGUUCUAAGAACCUUUGUGUGUAUGAUAGAAAAUCAGUUUAAUUCUUCCAUUAAGUCCAUGAGGUCUGACAAUGGACUAGAGUUUGUCAACAAUGAAACUUCAUCAUUUUUUCAUUCCAAAGGAAUUAAACACCAGAAAAUCUGUCCAUACACACCUCAACAAAAUGGUGUGGUGGAAAAAAAACACAGAUAUUUAUUGGAAACUGCAAGAGCCUUACUGUAUCAGUCCAAGUUACCUAUCAAAUAUUGGGGAAAAUGUAUCUUCACAGCCGCAUACUUGUGCUAAUUUCUCAGAGUGAAUUCGUUUUCUCAUUUUUGACAUCCAGACUUAGUUUACGACCCCCGAACAUGAUCCCGGCUUAAUAUCUUGGGCUUCUACUCAGACUUCAAAGCUUUAAAUAGCUCGGAUUAGCUGCACAACAUCUACAUAACUCGGAAUCACUCCUACAAGGCAUAAAACACAUAAUAAGUACAAAAACUCUACCAAUUAAAGCUCAACACAAGUAAAGUGAAGUGAAUUAGAGUGUAAUAAGCGACUAAAAUAUGGUAUUAUAGCCUACCAUUAACACCCCACACUUAAACCAUUGCUCGUCCUCGAGGAGUCAAACUACACUUCACAUAGACACGACCUUUUUAAAGAACUCUCCUAACUCAUCACACCAAGAAUAAUCAAACACAUUAAGCAAAAUACCGUAACCUCCUAGCCUCAAGAGUUGACUCAACAACACCACGUAUUUUUCACAACCCGCUCACUUGCUCUAACACAGAGGUUGACGACAUUACCUUUCCUUCGUGAAUCAAGUGCCAUCACACAACAAUAGAGAGUAGUUUCACACAUAAUAAAAUUUAAGAACAAUUAGGAACUCAAGAUAGAAAGAAUUCACUCACUCUCAGAAGUGACAUUCAUAUACCACAAAAGAGGUACCAUAAGCUUGCCCGUAAUGUACUACUCUACUAGUUGAGCUCAUUUAGUCAAGGAUCAAGUAGGACUUUAUUUAGAUGUAAUGUAAGAUGCGGUAUGUGUAGGAUAUAUUUGGAAAUAAGCGUGACUACACCUCCCUGGGCACUUUAAUACAUACAAUUUAACUAUUUAAAACUCUAUACUUAUGUUAAACCAUAACUCCACCUUCACAUCAGUAUACAUCAUCUCCUAACUUCUUUAAGCACAAAUACAUUAAGAGUUACCACAAUCAAUGCAUUGUUUUUUUCAUUUUCUUUUUCAAUUCAAGUGGCUCUUAUUUAUUUAUUUUCAAAAUAGUACACCUUUCUCCUUAUUCCAAUAGUUUCGCUCAAAAGCCAAACCAACACCCCACACAUUAACUUUUACAAAGUUCAUAAUUAUUUCAUGUGCUCUAAGAGGUAAGAAGGUUCAAAUAGAUGGUCAAUUCAAACAAUGGGGUAAGGCUUGUAAUGUGGUUGCCAAAAAAAUAGGAUUAUAGGCUCAAAGGGGUCAACUAGGAUACAUAACAAUUAGGUGGGUAACAAUUUAUAACUAGUUCAACAAAGAAAUACCUAUAUCACUUCCAAGACUGAAUAAACUACUAUUUCUCUUUGCAAACACACGAGGCAAAUUUUAGACAUCAAAUGCAAUGCAUAGAAUACCCAAAACCUCACACACACAUGGCACAUACCUCACUCAGGAUCAGACUCAUCAAGACACUCUAGUCAAAGCAGUUAAGCAAAGUUAAGAUCAUACAAUUUAAGGUACUUAUAUAAGAGUCAAAAACUGAGCAUAAGCAUCAUAACUAAAGCACUUACUAUUCUCAAGGCAUAAUAAAAUCAAGAGAUAUUGCUUUCAUUUAAAAUCACAGCGCAAGAUUUCCUACUCCUAAAAAAAAUAAAACUAACUACACCCGAUUCAAACAAAACACUUGAAAAAGAACCGCGGCACAAAAAAAUAUCAAGGGGGGAUUAUUAUACUACCUAAAGAAAAUAAUACUUUUUAUUCUUUGACUUUAAAAUUUUCAAUCAAAAGAAUCGAAAACUCAUACAAGAAACGAAAACAAAAAGUUAUUUACAUCCCCACCCCACACUUUAAAUUGUGGCAUGUCCCUAUGACAUACAAAUAAAAAGCAAGAGGUAAAGAAAACUCCCUUGAACUUUUUUGAUUUUCGAGAACUUGUGAAUUUCACCCCUAAUUCUGAAUUAAUUCUUCGUUUUUCCUCCUCGAGAUUCUUUAUGGAGCUCAUCAGGCCAAACUCCUCUAAGGAUAUUUGUAAAACCCGCUCUUUUCUUUCUUUCUUGGCCUCAUUUUGAGCGGUGGAUUAUUCUUGUAAGAUUAUCCUCAACUUGUUUCUGCAUUCAUUUACAAGAUCAAUUCCCGCAUAUUCCUGUAAAUCCCCAAAAAUAAAAUCCACAUGAUCAAGGUUAGAAUAAGAAAAUAAGGAAGAAAGGUCAUGUGAAUAUUUUUGUGGUAUGUCCAAGACCAAUGCUUCUUCAUUCUCUUCUACUAAAAAUUGUAAAUGUGGAUACGUGGAUAGCGAUUUGAACUCUUCUUUUAUUUCUUCAUAAUCCACCAAAGCCUCAUUUUCAAUCAUCUCAGUUGAAACAGAGUCCUCUUGUAGAGUGAAAAACUCUCUCAGUAGAUGUUCAUUAUCUCAGGUAGGCUCAUUCUUACCGGGUAUCUCAUCCAUAUAUUCACCAUCACAAUGCAAUGAGCUUUCUGAAAGUGUACUUAUUAUUUGACUCACUUGAAUUGUUAGGUUGCUAAUGGCUUCAUCAUUUUGUGUAAGUCUCUCUUCUACCUUAUUUAUGAACUUAUACGCAAGCUCUUCUAAACUACCAUCUUUCCCUUGAGUUGGUUGUCUCACUUCGCUUUCAUUCUAGUCAUAAUAAGGGUAUUAAUCCCAACAAGAGUCAGAAUUGUGCCCAUAUGAAUCCUCAUACCUGUACAGACUAGAAACAGAGUGAGAGUUUUCAAAAUAUGAACCAUAAGAAGAAUGCCUACCUGCUUGACAAUUAACCCAUAGAUGAUUUCCACCGCUUUUAAAACACAUAGCAGACCGCUGACAAUGUUUAGUUGCUAACCCUUUAACCGUUUUCUUAGGCUGGUUGUACUCCAUCUUUACAAUAUUUAGAGUUCGGUAUCAAGAAUAUGCUCUUCAAGAUUUCUUCAACAAAAGAAAUCUUGAAGAGAAGUUAACAUAACAAAACUAAAAAUAAAAAAAAUUAAAAUUAAAAGUUAAUUCCUGAAUUAGCACUACAAACUAUUUCAAACACUAUUGAUUGCCAAUCCCCGGCAAUGGCACCAAAAUUUGACGAGUGCAAAACAUGCACUGCAAAUUAUGCUCGCUAGUCAAAGAUAGUAUAGUAUAUUAUUGUGUCCAAAUAUAUUGGAUUUAAACAGUAUUCUCGUACGUUUUAUCUUGAUUGCUAUCCAGGAGGAUCAACAGUUGAGAUUUAUAUGAUUAAUAAUAAAAUUUAACUAAGAAGCUAAAAUUUACAGCUAUUGAUUAGUGACUAUCGAAACAAGGAGUAAGCAACUAAGGUUAUCAGUGGGAGAGGAUAUGGUUUUGACAGAAUACGUGCAAGAUAAUUGUUCGGGUUCUAACUCUAGUUAAUUCACUUUCAAUGUUCAAGUGAGUCUCUCGAAUUCACUCUAUUAUUAGUUCAAACAUUCAGCAAAAACUCAUCUCUCGAUUAAGUCUUAACAUCACGAGAUGAACCAAUUUAAGCCCUACAAAGAUAUGCAAGAAUGCGUAGUGGAUCGGUCUUUAGGAAAACCUCUUUCGAUUAAUCUCCUAACUAGAUUUAAUCAACGAUUCAACUAGCCUUUUUCGAUUACUUAGAAGAAUCUAUGGACUCAACCAACAAUAUAAUGCAAGAAUAUCACAAGUUAUGCCUCUUUCGAUUACAAGAACAAGUGAAUAUAUAUACAAUAAUUAAAUCUUCCAAAAACGAUCCAAAUACAUAAAAAUAGAGUUAUAAUCCACAAACAAUCAUCAAUACACCAAAUCCAUUAAAACCCAAAAGGAUCUAUUCCAUAGACAUGGAGAAGUUCUUUACAAAUGUAACUAAAGUAUAGGAAAACAUAAAUUCAAUCCAAACCUGGAUCUUGAGUGAGCAAGGAAUAAUGAAAUCUUUGUGCUUGUGCUCUUCCAACUCCUCCAUAGCCUCAUUGGCCUUCUUAGGUCAAAAAUGUGUCAAAAGUCCAUCUAAAAUGGUGUUAUGGUGUAUUUAAGCCACCACAAAAUAAACUCCGGACAAAACUACCCUUUUUUAGCAGAAAUGGAAAGUCACUCUAAUAUUUUUAGGCCACUACGUAGCGCCCCGCCCCGCCCCAUGCGGCGCGCAUGUAGGAAAUUCCAGAAAGUUUGAAAAACUCAUUUCUGGCCACUUUUUGCACUAGCGCCCCGCAGGGCAUGCCGUGGGGCAGUAGUGCAAAUUUCUUAGAGUGAAUUCGUUUUCUCAUUUUUGACAUCCAGACUUAGUUUUUGACCCCCGAAUGUGAUCCCGACUUAAUUUCUUGGGGUUCUACUCAGACUUUAAAACUCCAAAUAGCUCGAAUUAGCUCCACAACAUCUACAUAAAUCGAAAUCACCCCUACAAGGCAUAAAAUACACAAUAAGUGCAAAAACAUUACCAAUAAAAGCUCAAUACAAGUAAAGUACAGUGAAUUAGAGUGCACUAAGCGACUAAAAUACGGAAUUAUAGCCUACCAUCACCUUCAUAUGCAGAAUUUCAAACUCUUUGUGAAGAGCUUGCAAUUGUGCUCUCUUAACUCGUGUAUUACCCUGAUAUUUCUACUUCAUAAAAUCCAAUAUAUUCUUUACGGUCUCCUUUUUCGGAAUUGUUUCCAAGACCGAACGAUCUAAUGCUUGAAAGAGAAAGUUCUUUGCUUUCAAUUCUUUUAAUAUUUGAUCAUCAAUGUUCUUCUUUUGUGCAUGGGUCAUACCUUCUGUUGCUGCAGGAAUUCCAUCCUUCAUAAGGCCCCAGUAUUCCUUUGAUCAUAGGAAAUUCUCCAUAAGCAUCGCCCAAUGAUCAUAGUACCCAUCAAACUUCGGUACUGCCGGUUGGACAAAGGAACUCUCUAUUGUCAUAUUUGGAUUGCCAAAUACUUAGAAGACUGUGACUUCUAACGUCGUGACAAAGCUCUGAUACCAAAUGUUGAAAACCAAAGAAAACUUAUGUAGAGAGAAGAAAAUGAAGGAGGAACUCGAUAAUUUUAUUGAAACGAAUAUGGCUAUAUAUAGCCUUAUAUAACCGAUGUCUAAAGCUAAAACUAUAUUUUGUAGAGUCUAACAAAUUCUAACGACGUGAAGAACUCAACAAACAAUGAACUCGAAUAACAUUAGGAAGCUAAACACUAAGGCCUCAUUUGUUUGCACUUAAUUGAGGUCUCGAUCUUAAUCAUUCAGAUUUCAGACAUUAAAUGCAUUUAUUUUUAAAGUUUGAAUCUUAAUUAUUCAUAUUAAUCAUUAAGUGUAUUUAUUUUUUACGUCACAACCACUUAAUGGGUCUGAAUAGACCUAUAUAAUUAAAAUCUAUAACAGAAACUUAAUUUUAUUAAGAUAUUAUCAUCCAUAUUCAUUAUUAACUCUCACCACUGCCUACCAUUAUCAACUACCAUGAUGCCACCACCACCACCAUACUCAACCACCACUACCACCAUCAUCAUCAAUCAUAGCCGCCACCAUUAUUGUUACAAACUAUGUUUUCGUAAGUACGAGUACGUCGUAAGUCAAUUGAUGUAAGCUCAGAAAUGAAAUCAUAUUUGAAAAGUUUACAAAGUAAGUUAAUCAUAUUACCUCGGAGGUUAAAAAUAUUAAAGAUCAUGAACAACAAGUACAAAGAUGGUUGGAAGGUUCAGAAGCUAAAGGAAUUAAAAAAAAAAUGUUUCGUCGAAAGUCGACAAAUUGGGAAUGUUAUAACAUGUACUUUUGGAGUGAGACCAGGGUGUUUAACAUGAUAAGGAGGUUAUAUUAUGAGCUAUUUUAGUCGUAUGAUAAUCGUGUGUUAUGUUUUGAAGUCAAGCGAGUGGUGAAACAAAAGUCGAUGAAAGUCAUCUCAAGUUACGUUCAUAAGUUUAACUGAAACUUUGGGUCAAAUGUAACUGCCAUUUUCUCCCAAUAUACGUAGAGUUAUGGGGUGUUCCAACCAUAAAAUGAAAUAUCUAUGAGUCUAUUUUCCAACGUAUUAAACCGUUUGUCAAUACGAUAUUGUAGUAGAGAGAUAUGGGCCUUUUUGUGAGACUGCGCAGACUGUCACCUGCUUGCUUAAACGAGAAUCCAAAACUGGGCCUGUUCGGGUCGUCCAAAAAUGGGCCAGUUUAGGUCGUUCAAAGAGGACUUUUUAAAGACCUAUCCCCUUCAUAUAUUAGGAUUAUAAUAGGGUAAAAUAACCAGACUUAAUCUCUGCAAAACUCCUCCCAAAUAUUUUCCCCAAACCCCAAUUGAUUUUCUCUCCCUUUCAAGUUCUAAUUGGAGGUAAAGCCUAGAGUUUGAAGAGCCAAAAUAGGAGCCGAGUUAUCAAACAAAUAAGGUAAGUUUACUGCUCUCUUUCAUCCAUUUUUUUCUGUUGUAGAUGCAUAGUAGGUCGUUCUAUAUUUGUAAGAACUCACGGGACGGUGAUCGGAAGUCGUGAGUUCGAGUAAUUCACUUGUAGCAGACUGUUUUAUGGACUAUUUUAUGGACUGUUUUGUGGUAUAUUGUGAUGGAGAUAAGGUUGAAAAAUGAUUCUUAUAUGUUAUUGUUGUGUUCUUGUUGUUGUUGGUAUAUGGUAUUGGAGGAGGGCCUAGUUAUAGGGGAAAUGCUGCCCAAAUUUAUGUAAACGAGCUACUAGUUUAAGUUGAGGACUUAGCCUUUACUUAACACUGAUUUUGAAUCUCCUUAUGAUGUGGUAGAUUGAAUUGAGUUGUUUGAAUAAUUUUUUGGAAGGUAUUAAGGAAUCAAUGGAAUUAAGGUAUGUUAAGGCUAUCCCUUCUUUCUUUUUGGCAUGAUCCAAAUGAGACAAACGAAACGAGCAAAAUACGCAAAUUUCAUAAAUGACUCUAUUCAUAGAAAUACUAGGGGUGUCUAUAUUCUUGAUUCCCCAUGUGAAUUAUUAUUAUAUCCUAUGUUCACGGGUCUUAGAAAAAUACGUAUUUGAUAAAGUUUGUCUGAAAGGCAUAUUGAUUUUAUGAUAUUUGAGAAAUUUUAUUAACGAAUUUCUUAUGCAUUUCAUGCAUUUAUACAUUUACAUUGACCCACGACCAGAAGGCAUUAUAUACGCGUAUAUUAUAUGUAUAUGGGAUAUGGAAAAAAGGUUAAGGCNNNNNNNNNNNNNNNNNNNNNNNNNNNNNNNNNNNNNNNNNNNNNNNNNNNNNNNNNNNNNNNNNNNNNNNNNNNNNNNNNNNNNNNNNNNNNNNNNNNNNNNNNNNNNNNNNNNNNNNNNNNNNNNNNNNNNNNNNNNNNNNNNNNNNNNNNNNNNNNNNNNNNNNNNNNNNNNNNNNNNNNNNNNNNNNNNNNNNNNNNNNNNNNNNNNNNNNNNNNNNNNNNNNNNNNNNNNNNNNNNNNNNNNNNNNNNNNNNNNNNNNNNNNNNNNNNNNNNNNNNNNNNNNNNNNNNNNNNNNNNNNNNNNNNNNNNNNNNNNNNNNNNNNNNNNNNNNNNNNNNNNNNNNNNNNNNNNNNNGGGNACACUGCAUUUCAUGCCCGCAGGUCCCGAUAGACAGGUUGAGAGUUAUCCAAGUAGGCUAUCAGCUCAGCGGAAGAUGUUGGUGCGCUUCAUUUGCUUCAGAGUUGCUUAUUUGGUCAGUAUGAUUCAAACGUGUAUUGUUUAGUAUGGCGGGGCCCUGUUCCGACCUUUAUGGUAUUUAUCUUCUCUUAGAGGCUUGCAGACAUAUUCCAUGUACGUAAAAGAUUAUAUGGCCUUGUCGGCCUAUGUUUAGUAUACGAGUGAUCAUUUUGGUCUGAUAGGCCCAAGUUGGUAUUUCAUCUUUUAUUCUACUUAUCUCACGACAGCCUCUCCGACUCAUUUACCUAUGAUAGUAUGAUACGAAAGAUAUGUUACAUUGGUACUUUGUUGAGUAAGGUACCGUGUGGAAAAAUACCACAUAAAUACAGGAUGUUGGGCUGGUCGUUCAUCGUAAUAUUUUUGGAUUGUUGACACUAUUACGGUGGUCAUUUUGUGUAUGAAGAUAUUGGAGUGUGUUGGGCUGUUUUGUAGUAUUGUGUGGUGUGCAUAAGGUUGGAAAAUAAUGUAUAUAUGUUGUUAUUGUUGUUUUGGUGUUGUUGGUGUUAUCUUGAAUUUGGAGGAAGUAAGGAUUAUAGGGGAGAUGCUGUCCGUUUUAAUACUAAAUAAGCUUGCCGUUCGUUGUGCGUUAGUUGUACCUUUCGUAACUUAAUGAUAGUAUUAUUAUCGCUGUUGUAGAUUAAGGUGAGAAGAGGCGAGUUCAAGUUAGUGAUUGGAAAAAUUGUGAUAAGGUAUGUUAAGGCUAAACCUUUCUUCAUUUUGGCAUGAUCCCGUAACUACAUGAGUUUGAUAACAAGGCAUAAAGAGAAAUUCGUAUUCCUGAAUUUAUUCACAUUAUCCUAGUCUCAGAAGUUACAGUAUUCUCCCUUAUCGGGACUUCAUAUUCAGUUUAGUAUUGUCUUCUUUUAGUAUAUAUAUAUAUAGUAUUUUUACCACCAUCGAGCUAUAAUCGCUGAGCAGGCCCCUAUUGGGCAACCUCUGAUCAGAUGGUAAGUUAUACACCGAGCCUACUGUAGCCGAGCGCCUUUGAGCGAGCCCAGAAUGGCCGAGAUACAGAGCCUAGUAUGGCCGAGCGCCUAUGAGCGAGCCUACUACGGCAGGGCAGUUACACAUACCGAGCCUUAUAGGGCCGGACAUCUAUUUUACAUACUAUAUGGAGAGAGUUGAGUCAGUAUCAGCACGUAAGCAUAUCUUCAGAUUAUUUUUGACUCCCAGUUACAUUCAGUUAUUAUAUCAUCAGUUCAGUUUCAGCAUUCACUUAUUUUGUUUCCUUACAUACUCAGUACAUUAUUUUGUACUGACGUCCCUUUGCUGGGGACGCUGCAUUUCAUGCCUGCAGCAGCUGAUAGACCUUCCCAGUAGACUGAGCCAAAUAUCAGCUUGGUUGGUAAGCUCACCUUGGAGUCCGUUUUAUAUAUACAGGUUUUACUGGGUAGGUCGAGGCCCUGUCCCGACCAUAAUACAGUUCAACUAUCUAUAGAGGCUUGUNNNNNNNNNNNNNNNNNNNNNNNNNGGGGCGUGAUAAUUAUCGUCUAUCACCACCCACGAUCCCCACCACUCUCACAACCAUCAUUCUCAACCACAAUCAACACUCAUCCACCUCAACUACCACAACUAACCACCCCAUGACCAUCAACAACCACAACCGCAAUGUCCAUCAUUAUAACCUACCGCCACCCGCCACCACCUUCCUCAAUUACAACUACCACCACCACCCGCCAUUAUUAAAUAUCAUGACCCACCACCACCACUAUCAAUUACCACUAACUACUAUCCUGAACCACCACCAUCAACCAAAACUACCAUCAAUCACCGCCUCUAAUCGGCAUUCACCCGUUAGCCAUCACCACCAACCACUAUCAUAUCUUUAAUAACUAUAUAUUUUAUUGAUAGAAUAUUAGAUUAAUUAGCAUUUCAUUUGAAUUUUAUGAUUUUAAAUUUUCAAAUAAAGAUAAAUUUUAUACAUUCAGCUGUUAAAAAUCAAACAGUUUUAAUCAUUCAGUAUUCAGAUCGUAAUACACAUCUUAAUAUUCAGAUAUGUAUUCAGAUUCAGAUAUCUUAAUCUUGAUACGCAUGUUGAUAUUCAGAUUCAGACGUCAUAAUGUUAAAAAAUAAAUGAGGCCCGAAAGACUCCUAACAAUCUGAAUACUUGCGAGAUAUUUUUAUUUUUUAGACAUAUCAACUGUACAUUUGCACUCUUUUAUUAUAAAAAAUGGAAAGGCUUUAUCCCAGCAAAUAGAAGAUACUCAGCUCCGCACAACAUAGGGAUUAGCACACUUUCGGGAAGAACAUAGAAUAGUAGAAGAUCCAGCAUGCAGAACACGACGAUCAUUAUAAAUUCACAAAUUAGAAAUGUUGUAAUAUACUCUUUCCCAUAACUUCUCAUACCAGACCAACCCACCAAAAUACAAAUAGGGAUCAGAAAUAUAGUCAAUAUCACAAAAAAUAAAGAGAUAUCGUCUAUACCCAAAUAAAAAUUGGCGUUUUCAUAAGGAAGCCAUAGAAGGCUUUCCACAAAUUGAGAUUUGGCUGUAGAAGGAUCAAAUUAUAUCCGAAGAACAGGAGGAUACAAAAAAGUAAUAAGAGAGGCGCACAGAUCAAUUAAUCGUAUCAGUCGUGUUCUUGAAUUUGGAAUGAAAAGAGGAGUAAUGCUUCCUAGCACGAGAUAAAGAAUAAGACCACUUAGAUCAAAAUAGCAUUCACAGAAAUAUUCUAACAUAGAGUAGAAUCGAACGUGGAAGAGAUUCAUUGACAACAGUAAAAAGAUGGGCGCCUAAUUCCAAUACAAUAGGGGUCUAUCAGUGUAAGUCAGCUGAACACUGUGAUUUAUGAGUGGGUAGGUGGGUUAGGUGCACCUCUCGCUCAGUAGGAAGUAAUGAGGCUAGUCUCCCCCCUUCCCCCCUGAAUGAAGAAGUAAUGGGGGGUCCUUCCCGCGUAUGCGCCUUUCUUUAUAUUCUUUCUAUUUUUGAAUUACCAAUGGAGAGCAAACAAGGGACGCCUCAUUAAGCAAGAACCCGAGCUAAGAGCGGGGCAGUUCCAUUAAUGUAUAGAGAAAGCUCCAAGCAACUACCAUUGAUCAACCUUAUUCAGGCACAUCAAUCAAAGAUCUUGCUUACCUAACUUUCUCGGUGAAGGAGAGAAAGUUUGACAAGCUAAGAAAGUCUCGUUGAAAGCAGGAACUCAGACUGUGACGGUUAUUUUCAUUAGUUUCUAAGGCUUGAUUGACCCUUGGGAUUGAAUCUGGCUAGGGGGUGCCCUCGUAAAGACUAAAACCUCGUUACGCCGAAAAUAGUAGAUGUGCGACAAUGCUUUGGUAGUGAGUGAAAACUUACUUUCUGUCUAGUUAGUAGGAAUUUCUUGCCUGCUAAGAGAUUAGUCCAAGUUAGACCGAGAAGUAAGAGUUUGUAAUUGAAGUCGGGGGGCUGAAUAGAUAAAUUCUCUUCCCACGUAGCGCUAAGAAGCAAGUUCCGACAACCUAUGAUGAAAUAGCACCAAAAAAAAAGGGCUACACGAAUAAUAGUGUUAGUAGUUCGUGAGGCUAAUUUUGAGCUAGAUAGUGAAUUGGUGUUUACUGUAGCACUAUCUGACCUUGAAGAUUAAGUUAGUGUACCGCGAACUCCAUCCCACAUAUUUUAGAUACCGUGGUAUCAAUUAUCUAGUUACAUUCUAUUACCGGUGCCAGCUAUUUUUACCUGGUUAAGAUACACAUUUGGGUUCUUUCGAUUAUGGGAGCCAGCUAUUUACUAGCCUAUCAUUCCUAAAGUGUAUUAACUCUCUUGUCUCAAAGGAAAAAAAGAAAGAAAAAGAAAAUGAAUAACCAUCACUUAUCCUUGAACUUAGCCACUAAAUGACACUAAUACUACUAUUUUCGUGUGAACAGAAUAUUCUAGUAAUUAAUUUGACUGGUCUAGUUCAUCCACUUGUAUUAUAAUUCUAGAACAAUUUAAUUAUUUAGUGGAGUACUUUAUACUUUUUAUUAAGGUAUCAAACCGACAUAAGAAAAAAAACCAAACUUUUAAAACGAAGCAUCGGUAUCACUCUUGCUUACGUCAUCAGUAUCAUCUUGCUUACGUAAUCAAUGAUUUUAAUAAUUUGAAGUGUUUGACAAAGUUUGUAGGAGAAAAAAAGUAUUUUUGUGGAGAAACAUAAGCAGUUUUAGAGAAAUAGAAAAAAAUAACUUCUUUUCAUAAGCACUUUUUUUGAGAAACACUAUUAAAAAAAAUACACUUAUAAGUACUUUUUAAUAGCACUACUUGUUGCUUAAAAACACUUUUUCAAUUAAUUAGUCAAACAGAAAUUGCUUCAUACCAAAAAUAUUUUUUUUAAAAACACUGUUAAAAAAAAACACUUCUCAAAAUAAAUUAUUUUUCAACUUUGUCAAGCGGGCUAUAAAAUAGGUAAAAAGUGAAAUUUAUCAUGCCUCCCUUAUCUAAUACUCCAUCUGUUUCAACAAUAAUGAAUUUAUUACCAUCGGCGAAUCAACUAAGGUUUUUUCAAUCAUUUUUUUUGGUAAAUGAUUUUUAAAUAUUUUCUUUUUUUGACUUAUAGUAUUUUUUUAAUAUAACUUUUAAAUAUGUAAUUUUAUUUCAAAGAAUAUAUAAACUUUAUAUCCGGAUUUACACCUAAAAUUAGUUAAUUUGAUCAUCCGAAAAGAUUUAAACAAUUGAAACAGAGAGAGUAUAUUAUUAAUCAAUUAAUUCGAAGUAUAGUAGCAGAAAAAAAAGUACUCCUACUAAUAGAAAAGGGAUACAAAGAGUUUGCGAGAGAGAGAGAGUCCAAGAAAUGAAAAAGAGUUUGAGAGAGAGAGUCGAAGAAAGAGAGAGCAUGAUAAGGAAAGCAAAAGAAGAGUAAGACUACCAAAGAAGGAGGCUAUCAAGUCUCUCCCACGAGACAAUUAAAGUGACUACUUUCUAAUCCGUUACAUGUCGACCAAAUCCAUAAAUUUAGGGUGUGUUUGGUAGGAGUAUGGAAAAUAUUUUUCUGGAAAAUGAGUGAUUUUAUUAUUAUUAUUUUUGUUUGGUUGAUGAGUGAAAAACUUUUUCGAAAAAUAUUUUGUAAUGUUUGGUUAGAGAGUAUAAAAUAUUUAUAGAAAAAUAAAUUUUUAUGCUACUCUCCUCAACCCACAUUCCUCUAAAUCCUAUGUUGAAUGAUAGAAUAUAGUUUUUGUACAUCAUGAAAAGAAAAUACUCAGUUUGAUGAAAUAAAAGAAAAUAUUUUUUCUACACCAGAAAAAGAAAAUACUUAAUUUGUUGAAAUGAAAGAAAAUACUACUUAUAAAUCAUGAAAAAAAUACUUGUUUUGUUGAAAUAAAAGAAAAUAUUUUUUCGACAUCAUGAAAAAAAUACUCGUUUUGUUAAAAUGAAAGAAAAUACUUUUUUCUGCAUCAUGAAAAAAAUAUGCUCAUUUUGUUGCAAUAAAUUUUUUUUUUAUUUACAAUAUGAAAAGAAAGUACUCUUAAUAAUAUUUCUAGUUAGGGUGAAUGGUAAGCAAUGUUAGGGUGGGUGGGGUAUGGCGGUAAGGGUAGGGGUGGUUUGGGGGGUGGGGAUGGAUGGGGUGGUUGGUGAGGAUGUGGAAUAGGGUGAAGAAUGUUGAAAAAGAAUUUUAAAAAAUAUUUUUCCUACUUUUGAUAGAGAAAACUUGGAGGAAAAUGAGUUCAUGAGGAAAAUAUUUUUCAAAACAUUUAAGUCACCCAAACAUGAAAAAAUUAAAAAAUAUUUUCCGAAAAAUAUUUUCGUUCAUACCAAACACACCCUAAAUGUUACUCCCUCCGUUUCAGUUUAUGUGAACCUAUUUCCUUUUUGGUCCGUUCAAAAAAGAAUGACCCAUUUCUAAAUUCGGAAACAACAUUACUUAAACUUACAACUCUACCCUUAAUGAGAAACUUUUAUAACCACACAAAUACUCUGGCCCCUUUUUGACUUAUUUAGGACCACAAAUUCCAAAAUUUUUUAUUUUUUCUUAAACUCUGUGCCCAUUCAAACAAGUUCACAUAAAUUGGAACGGAGGGAGUUGUAGUGAUGAACAUUAAUAACUAUGGUACGCGAUCGCGCGUGAAUCCUGUCUCAAUGAGUAUAAUUUUUUUUAAAUAAUAUUAAAUUAUAAAAUAAAAGUGUAAGUUCCUAAAGAUAAUCAUAAAUAUCGAUGUGCAUAACUAUCUCAAUAAUUAAAGAAACUAUCUUAGAAGUUCUCAACAUCAAUAGUUCAACUUAAAAUUUGUUCCAAGUUUAUAAUUUCAGUAUUUCAGUUUUGCGGGCAAGAACCUUGAAAAUCUAAAUAAUCUUGAAAUAUACAAUUUUCAACAUAUAAGCAGGUAACUAAUAAUCUACGAACUUUAAAUAAACACAAAAUCAAAGUGCAAUAAUAAAUAAAUAAAUAAAGACAUUAAAAAUUAAUAAAUAAAGUAAGUAAGUUAGUAAGAUAUUCUACAAUUGAAAGCUAGCUAAUAAACCCACUCAUAUUUAACUAAAUGUAUCAUGGAUUAAAAAUCAAAGAAUCUCAUAAAUUAUCUUGUUAAUUUUGUGCCCUUUAUUGAUUUCUGCUCAACAUUUCUCAUAAUUAUAAUAGUGCAUUUAAAUUUUUUGAAAGUUAAAAGUAUAAUAUUGAAUAAUAUUGUUAGUGCAAUAGCCUUAUAUAUUUUUAAAAAGUGAAUUAUCUAUGCUAUUGUCCAAGAACUCGUACCUCUUCUUUCUUAAAUAUUUUACUUCUUCUUUUAUUUUAUUUUUUUUUAUCAUUUAUAUAUAGUUUACGUGUAAGACUUAUACAAAGUUCGAAAUGAAAAAAUAAAUAAAUUUUAACUUUCUUAAUUGUUCAAAUAAGAAACAAAUUAAUAAGUAAUUUUUAAUUAAUUUUAAGCUCUAAAAUUUUAAAAAUAACAAUUAAAUAACUAUUAAAUGAAGUGUUUCUUAUAAUAUUUAACAUAAAUUGAGGGACUUCGGAAUAUAUAUAUUUGUGUGAUUAAGAUCAAGUUUGAAAUGAAAAGAAAAGGCAUUAAUUUUAAAUUUUAGUCCUUUAUUGUAGGUAAAUAUUAUUUCCUAAAUAGUAUUCUAUUUGGUUUAAGAAACUCACGAUUUCUUGUUAAUAAAUAUGUUAUGAUGGCCAAAGGCUAAAAUUAAGAUUCUUACUUAGUUUAAUAAGGAAAUAUUUAAUAACCAAAAUUUUAGGUGAUUUAAAUAUCCUAAAUAUUAGGAAAGUAACUUAAAUUAUAAUUAUGUCCAAUAUAAAAUUUAUUUUUAGAGGGUAAAAAGGCGAACGAUAUUUUGUUAAGUAUGUUCGUGUUUUUUAUAUAGUAUAGAUAUAGAUAGAUAGAUAUAAAUAGAUAGAUAUAGAUAGAUUUUGUUUGGUGUUCAUUUCAAUGUUCCAUCUCAGUUCAUAUUAUAUACUCCUAUAUCUAAUCAAAUUGCUAUACAGAAUUCCAUAAACUAAUACCAUGAACAAAUGGACAACUCUAUGGCGGCCUUUUGGAAUUCUUUAAAUGUAACCCCACCAGGAUUUACAUUUGUUUUUAUUUUUUAUUCUUAUUUUUUGGGACCAAAUUUGAAGGAAACAGAUCCUAUGAUGCCCCACAACAUCAACUUAGAUUUUUGGUCAUCUAUUCUAUUAAGAGACGCACACAUCGCAAAAACCAAGAUCCCUUUCUUUCUCCUGUUUCUUCCCAUGGGAUUAUAUGAGUGCGAUUAUUCAUCGAAAAAUACGAAAGGGUUUUUUUACCCUUAUAUCUCUGAGAAGACAAUAGGUAAAACAGUAAUUAAAUUAGAACGACUGAUUGAGUUAUUUAAAGGCCUAAUAUAUAUACUGCCACUUAAAGUUGGUUUCGAUUUUCAUUUUAGCACUUCAAAUAAGAUCAUUACCUAUUAAAUACUUAAAAUCUAACAAAAAUAUACCUAUUGAAUACGAAUGCUGACAUGACAUAGUAGUGAAAUCACACCCUCUUUUGAGAGCGUGGAAAGAAAAAGCAAAGGAAAUAAUUUUUUUAAUUUUUAAUUUUUAUCUUCUCUCCUUAAUUUUAAUUUUAGAGUUUAAUUAGGAAAUAAUUUUUUGCUGUCAUUACCUUUAGGACAGCUCCCACCGAUAGCCACGACCUCCGACACCAACUCCAUCUCCUUUGGUUUGAAAUUCUAAUUUCAUUUUAGAGUUGGAUUCCUUCACUGAAUUGAUUUUAUUCAUCGUUUUUGCUACAUGAGAAUCUAAUUUGAGGAGAAAAUUUUGACUUCCAUUGGAGCAUCGAGCUUGAAUUAAAAAAAAAACAAAUCUGAAAAUUUUGAGUAGAAAUCAAUUGGUUGUUAUAGAUUCUAGUUGGAAACAUUUGUUAGAAUCUGAAUCUAAAGUUUGAGUGCAUUUUUGAGCUGGUUCGAAUUGGAUUUUUGGGUCAAAUAUUUCAGAGGCGCUCGACGAGGAAGAUGGCCUAGGUUUCCUUAAGUUCGUGCCUGUUUGAUCAAAUUAAUUACUGAAUUUUGUUCUAAUUAUCAUUCAGAGUCUAUAGUUACCUUUGAGUUCGAUUGGAGAUGUAUAGGCUGAGAUCGGAUUAACAGAAACUUUAGCAAAAUUGAAGAACACCAACUAAGUUUAUUUUAAUUUGUUAUUGGUUUGUUCAGAUAAAUUGUGAUUGCUUCUACUCAUUAUUUGGAGAAGAUGGGGCCAGAAAAAUUUGGCCAGUGAGGAGUUGGGGACGACGGCAGUAGGAAAUACGCAGGGUUAGGGACGAUGUAGGCAGGAAAAUUUUCUUUUCUUUUCUUUCUUUUUUUCUUCUUAAGGUUUUUNNNNNNNNNNNNNNNNNNNNNNNNNUUAGGGACGUAGUGUAGGUACGUAAGUUAAAUUUUUCUUUCUUUUUCUUUUCUUUUUUUUCUCUUAAGGUUUUAGCUUUUUCUUGUCUUUGUUGAUAUGUCAUUUUAUCAUUGGUCUUGUUUGCCAAAUAGAUAGCAAUUAAUAUUCUAGCACCAAAGAUGAUUUGGGAUUAUCAAAGUUGUAUUUAAUAGGUACACUUUUGUUGGAGUUAGAAGUAUUAAAUAGGUAAUGACCUUAGUUGAAAUGUCAAAAUGGAAAUUGAAGCCAACUUUAAUGGAUUGCGUAUAUAUUUGGCCUUCUGAAUUGUUUGAGUUUUGACCUGAGUAUAAAUGUUAUGAAUAGGAAUUCUUAAUAUUUUGUCGAAGAAACUCUUUCGUUAUUUUUUAACCUCAUUUGUUUCAUCUGUAUAAUUAAUGUACGUAAGUGCCAAAUUAAUGUUUGACUGUACGUUGUUAUUCUUGAUAUUUGUUUCAUCUGUAUAUAUAAAAAUAUGUACAUCUAUAUAUAUAACGAAACUCUUUCGUUAUUUUUGUUUUCUCGUUUGUUGCCUAGUUGUGGUCAAAUUUCGUUGUCAUGAAAAUGUUUUUCCGCCACAAUGAGUACGAUAAGGAUUUUAGCAUAUUUAUUAUUUGGCAAACAAUCAAGUUAAUUUCGGUUUCGGGUUCGAGCGUGAGAAUUGAAUAAGGAAUAUUUUUUUUUCUUUAAUAAGUCUUAUACAACGAAUUUAAAUUAGUCGAAGCUUCAGUGCGAAUAUCGAACACCAAGUGAGAAACAAAAAAUAAGGCAUGCACACAUUGAAUAUUUGACUUUGCAAUUUGCACUUAAACAUUUUCCUUUUGCCACUUCUUUUGGGUAGGAAAUUAAUAACAUUAUGAACUUCAUCAUGCAUGAUAUGAGUACUCUUACAAAUAAUGUCUAAUUAAGUUUUUAUUUUUUAAUUUGUAUUUAUGUUGUUGUUUUUCCCACUUCUUUUUUUCAUUUUUGUGUCUUGUCUACUUUAUCUUCAAAGUUGUGUUAGAAAAGAGAUGUGGUCUUUAACCAAAAAACAAAUAUUUAUCAUCUCAAAGCUGUAAGAGAAGUGGAGUCAACACUGAUAGGGAAUGACAGAAGAACCAAUUGAUCUUAUCUUAAUCCAAAUUCCAUAUUUCUGGUGAAUGAAAACUUGGUCAAGCCAAAGGACCAAUUGGUGUUUAAGAAAACAACUUUUUGGAUUGAAUAAGACGAGAAAUAUCACACACAGGUUCUUCCUCCCUACCAGCUGACAUUUGACUCUAAAAAUCCUAAUCAUAAGAUAUUACAAAACUAUUCUACUCCUACAUUAUUUUUCUGUUAGAAAGAAAGCUGCACUUUUUUUUGUUUCCUAAUAUGGUAUCUGGUAAACGUAACUCUCACAAUUUAAUCAUUAUCUAUUUUAAUUACUUGCCCUUUGACCUUUAGCUAAUGCUAGUGCUUUAGAAAUUGAAGUAGUACUGUAAAAUAACUUCACCCUAUUUAAUUUACCAAUAAAAUAAAAUCAUUGGAGAUGUUAUUGCAGUAAUCGCAAUAACUGCAAUUGUUGCCAAUUGUUAUUUUUAUCAAUCCAACAGGGGGAAAAGGGACACAAUUGGCAACAAAAGUAAUACAAACCCCACAAACAGAGAAAAGGGAUAAGGAAAAGGCAGAAGGGGUUGAUGAGAAUAUACUAUCUGGAUAUAAACAGAAACACCAAAGUUUCAAUCACAAUAAAUAAAUCUGCACUCAACAGUAGUAAUAAUUGAGGAAUUGGAAAUCUAAAAGAAAUUCCAACUUGACAAGUCUCUCAUUUCUCCAUCUAAAAACUUAAGAGAUUAUUACAUAGAUGGAAAUUAAAACAACCAAACAAACUCAAAAGAAAAUUCACACAAAACAGAAGUUACUGAUCUGACUUAAAAACUUACAGAAUCUCACAACUCCAAAAGCAAGCAGUACUUGCCUUUUCUUUAUUUCCUAUCUUACAUCUGAAAAACCACACAAACUUAAAAAGAUAUACUAUAUAUAUAUAUAUAGUAGUAUAUCUUUUUAUUUCCUAACUUACAUCUGAAAAAGCCACACAAACUUAUAAAGGAUAUACUAGUAUAUACUAGUAUAUAUAUAAAUAUAUAUAUAUAUAUGAACAAGUUCAGAGGAACUUGAUGGAAUUACCCUCCUGAUGCAGGAGUUGGUGGUGGAGUGGUGGAAGCUGAGGUGGCGGCGGUGGAGCUGCCGUCAAAGUCGUCAUCUCCACCGGUGCCAUCACCUCCUCUAAAGGGAAAUAGAGAGCUUAUAGUCUCAAGAAAGCUCUCAAUAAUUUUAGCUAUGAUCUUACCCCUUUUCGGCGGAAGUGCAAUAUUUUGUGUCUGUUGGAGAUUUGGUGAAACAGCUGCCAUUAGCAUAUAGUAACAGAAAGAAGUAGCUGGAAUAUAUAUAUAUAUAUAUAUAUAUAUAUAUAUAUAUAUAUAUAUUACCAGGAGAGUGAAGAGAAAAGAAGAAGAAAGAAGGAGAAAUUAAAUUAAACUAGGCUUUGAAAAAACAGCCUGUAUUAUGAGAAUAGGAAGGAAAGAAAGAGAUCAAGAACAAAGGGAGAGAAAUGAAAAGUCAGGGGGAUGUGGCUGGAAAAAGCCCCAUCAGAGAGGAAAGGAGAAGAGGAAAAUGAGAGCUAGAGGGGGAGAAAUACGUGCUGUUUAACCACUCUCAGAUUUUCCUAUAAAUAACCCUCAGGUUUUUUAUAGGAAAGUUUUGAUGGUAUUUACGGAGAAAUUUCUAUUCAUGAAAGUAGCCCACAUUCACACAAAAGUAUAUUAUAAUGUAUUUUUUUCCUAUCUGAGAUUAGGGAAAAUAAUCAAAUAUGUAGUUUAUACUAGUAGUUUUCAAAAAUUGAGUAACUUGACCUUCCGGUCUAGUAUUGUCCUACCGUUAGGAUUUUUUUUUUUUUUUUUGCCCUUGAUUUUAACGGAACUCUAUCUGAAGAGUAUGUUUGAA
rnacentral:lncRNA from 1 species